rnacentral:rRNA from 2 species
UUCGCAAUGCCCGAAAGGGUGACGAAGCGACGCCGCGUGGGUGAGGAAGGCCUUCGGGUUGUAAAACCCUGUCAGGAGUUAAGAAAUAUAGGUGCGCUAAUAUCGCAUUUAUUUGACGAAGGCUCCAAAGGAAGCCACGGCUAAUUCUGUGCCAGCAGCCGCGGUAAUACAGAGGUGGCAAGCGUUGUUCGGAAUUAUUGGGCGUAAAGAGCACGUAGGUGGGUUUGCAAGUCAGAUGUGAAAGCCUUCUGUUCAACGGAAGAAUUGCAUCUGAAACUGCAAGUCUUGAGUGUAGGAGGGGAGAAUGGAACUUCUGGUGGAGCGGUGAAAUGCGUAGAUAUCAGAAGGAACGCCGGCGGCGAAAGCGAUUCUCUGGCCUAUUACUGACACUCAGUGUGCGAAAGCUAGGGGAGCAAACGGGAUUAGAUACCCCGGUAGUCCUGGCCGUAAACGAUGGGCACUAAGUAGAGGGGUUUU